rnacentral:tRNA from 1 species
GCCACCUUAGCUCAGUUGGUAGAGCAACGGUUUUGUAAACCGUGGGUCGUCAGUUCAAGUCUGACAGGUGGCU